AAGUGGAGACUGGGGCAGAAGGUGGGGGGGGGGGAGACAUAACCGCCGGCCCCAAAGAUCACACAAAAGCUCUGUGCGGAGUUGGCUAGUCACCUUUUAAAGCCCAAGGAACCAGCCUCCAGGUGGGAUUCCUAAGGGAGGGGCUUUAGAAUGAAGCAGAGAGUGGCAGUUAAACUGUCUUACUGUAAGCUCAGAGUCUCAGAUAGGGCUUAGAGAAGCCAGGAGUUAGGGAUGGACAGGGAUAGAAAGAGGAUCUCUAGGGAGAUAGGUUCUAGGGUUGCCAGCAUUUCACUGCCAGAAUGAGGAACACAAGUCUGGAAUGAAGCUGCCAUAUACUAAGUCAAACCAUAGGUCCAUCUAGCGCAUUAUUGUCUACACAGACUGGCAGCAGCUUCUCCAAGGUUGCAGGCAGGAGUCUCUCAGCCCUAUCUUGGAGAUGCCAGGGAAGGAAUCUGGAACCUUCUGAUGCUCUUCCCAGAGCGGCUCCAUCCCCUAAGGGGAAUAUCUUACAGUGCUCACACAUCAAGUCUCCCAUUCAUAUGCAAACAGAGCAGACCCUGCUUAGCUAAAGGGACAAGUCAUGCUUGCUACCACAAUACCAGCUCUCCUCUACCAUUACAUGGUAACUUUCCUUUCCCCCCAAAUUCCCACUAUUACAGCCUCAUUGAUCAGGAAAAACUGGCCAACAAAAAAAGGAAAAAUAGGAUGCAAUGCAUAGAUACCAACAUAAGAAAAAAGUUAUCAAGACUUUGAAUAAUCCUCUAGUUGUAUGUUACAAACUUCAGCAAAGGAAAUGCAGAGACUUUAGGAAGAGUCUCCAAAGUCAGCGCAGGAAAAAGCUGAGGCUUCCCCGUACUUAAGGAGCCAGGCAGGAUCAUCUUUGCAUGGCGAAUAGCAAUUCUUACAUUGUCAGGAGAAACGCUUGUGGAUUUGGGACAGGGUUUGGGAAUAAGGAGAGCCAUGCCAUGCGCCCCAGGCACACAAGAGAAAGAGAGAGUCUCGGGUUUGUUUUAGAAAUGUACUCUGUCUCUGUGUCUGACUUACUUCCCGGCGUCCCAGACAGAGGUGGCAGUGGCACUCAAAUACAGGGGAAAUGUGGUUCUGAACAGGACAAACAUUUCCUACAGUAAAUGCAGGAUGUCCUGCAUAAACCGGGGCUGUUGGCAACCCUAAUAGGGUCUGUUCUGGGAUGGGUGGGGUUCCAGGGAGGGACUGGGUAGGACAGGAUCUCUGCCUAUAGGUGAUAGGUAAUCCAUCUGUGGCUACCUCAGUCAUCUAGGCAGGGGUGUAACUAUAAUAGGGCAAGGGGAGACAGUUGUCUGGGGGCCCACUUCCUUGAGCCCCCCCAGAGGCAAGUCACAUGACUGACUCCCCCAGCCACGCACCUGCCCAGGCUUCCUUCAGUUGUAUUCAUCCUCCAAAACUGAUAAACAGAGCAUGAGGAGGAAGAAUCCAAGGGAACUGUCCAUAACGGCGUUCAGAAAGCUGGGAAGUGCUCUGCUGCCAAGGAUACUGAGCAGGCGCCGCUCGAGAAGGGCGGAUCUUCAGAGUGCUUUGAGGAGCUUGAAAUCCUUCUGUGGGGACUAUUGCACAGGUGCAAGCCCAUGUUGUGAAGGAUACUGGAUCACCACUAAGAUCUCAGAGCUAGUGUAAAAGUGUUGACCGACUCACCUUUGUCAGGGAUGCUAAGAGUACUGUGUUUUCUACAUACGGAGAAGUGAUUUUUUUGUUUUGUUUUAAAGCACAGGGGGAAUUUCCAAACCUGUAGUCAGCCUAAAGGUUUAGAGGCGGCAUCAAAAAAGUGUGUGUGUGGGGGGGGGGGUUUAUCUGGCCCCUAAGUGCAGGCAGCAUUUUGUUAUUUAAAAAUUACUUGUUUGUAAAAAUUAAAUUGGGGAGGGGGCAGGCCUGCCUCCUUCCCCCCCCCCCGACUAGGGGUCUGGAGCAUUUAGGCAUGUGGCCAAAGUGGUAACAUUCUGGAAAAGCUGUAUUGUGAGAUUCUGCUGAUCUCUGAAUGCACUCAAGUCAAUUUAGAGAAUGGGGAUGUCCCCUAAAAGAGUUUUAUUGCUCAGUUAUCUCCAAAAAAUGAUUACAAGUCACCCGUGUUUUUUGGGGGUGGUUGUUGCUGAAAUCUGUUCAUAUACAGCUGAAAGCAAGGCUUGAAAUUCCUAUUUGGACACACACCCCAAAAUAGGCAGCAGCCCUGUUGCCUCUGCAGUGACAUCAUCACUGCUUUUUCUCUCUCAAGCCCGGUCAUUCUGAAUGUGGAGAGUGAAGUUUCCUGCAGUAAUCUGACCAAAAACAAUCAUGGUUUUGAAAAAUCCAGAAGGUACCAGUGGUGUAUAGUACCACAGUGCAAGAGCGCACACGCAAACACACACAGACACACACCCAGAAAAAAUAUUUGUGGAUGUACCAAAAGAAAAUAAGCUAUAGAAAGCUUGGAUAGUUGCAGUGAGAAGAGAAAAGGUGUUCAGUGAGCAAUCUGUAUUGUUUGUGUGUCAGGAUCAUUUCAAAGUUAGAAAUAACUUAUACAAUGUUUAUUAUUCUUCAAUAUUGUAUUUUUAUUUGAUUUUUUCUGCUCCUUUUUAGUAAAAGGGAGCAACUGUGGAGGAGUGUGUGUGUGUGUGUGUGUGUGAGUGAAUAGUUUCAUAGGAGUGGAGAUAAAGGGAGUGAAGACCCCAAGGUUAGUAUUAGAGCUACAUUUAGAACUCAAGAUCUCCCCUCCCUGAAAGUCACCUCUUAUAUGGCAUGCCAGUAUAAGGGGAAUUUAUGUGAUUUUUCUCCAUCUUUUAAAUAAAAUGGGGGGAAGCAGCUGUGUGGAGGGGGGGGCUUGAACAGUGCAUUUUUCCUGCUCUUUUUGCCCUUUGCCCUAGUAACAGUUGAGAAUAAUUUCUGUCAGGGCUGCUGAAAUCUGCCUCUCGACACCCCGCCUCCCAGGAAAAAGAAAUCUUUUGAAAAUAAAGGGCAACCAUUAUUACAUUUGAAUGAUUUAAUUCAUGCUUUUGAGAGAGAUUGGACCUGUUCUAUCACAUAUCUACAGCAGUGGCCUCUUCCUUCAUUUUGUUACAUUUUACCAUCCUCAUAUACAAAUAUGAUGAAUAUUUAUAUACUGCUUUUCAACAAAAGUUCCCAAAGAAGUUUACACAGAUAUAAAUAAAUAAAAUGUCUCCCUGUCCCCAAAGGGUACACAAUCUAAAAAUGAAACAUAAGAUAGACACCAGCAAUUGCUACUGGAGGGAUGCUGUGCUGGGGAUGGAUAGGGCCAGUUGUUCUCCCCCUGCUAAAUAAAGAAAACCACCACUUUAAAAUGGUGGCUCUUUGCUCCCUGAGGAGGAGAGCAGGUCUUGUGGUAGCAAGCAUGACUUGUCCCCCUAGCUAAGCAGGGUCCGUCCUGGUUUCAUAUGAAUGAGAGAACACAUGUCUGAGCACUGUAAGAUAUUCCCCUUAGGGGAUGGAGCCAUUCUGGGACAAGUAUGAAGUUUCAAGUUCCCACCCUGGCUUCUCCAUGAUAGAGCUGAGAGAUUCCUGCCUGCAACCUUGGAGAAGCUGCUGCCAGUCUGUGAAGACAAUACUGACCAAUGGUCUGACUCAGUAUAUGGCAGCUUCCUAUAUUCCUCAGCACAUGGUAGGUAGAGUUGCACCAGUUGGAUGUCUGCCUGUCAUGUCUAAAAGUUCUGAGCCUCUGGCCCUUACAAUGAACUUAGCAGUCUCUUCUGCUUACGAAGCACAAAACUGGAGGGUUGUAAAUGCCAAAUAGAAGCAGUGAGGUUGAGCAGUUCUGAGGUAAAAUGAAGGAAGAGACCACAGAUAAAAGAAUGAAGGAAGACAUCACUGUCACACCUAGGAAGCCAAGGCCUAUGUGAUUGAGCCCGUUUCCCUAUUUACCUUAGAGACAUUAAUUAAAUCAAACAAGUGUGAUAAUGGUAACCCUUCAUUUUCAAGAGAUUUCUCAUUCCCUGGGGGCAGAUUUCACCAGCCCGGACAGAAACAGAAGACCUUGUGGUUUUCACUCCCUCAUCCCCACUCCAACGUAAUCUUCAUGGCCAGUGAAGAAAUUUGUGAUCUUGUAGGAAUCUACAAAUGACAGAUUUCUGGAAUUUCCUUUUACAAAUCCUUUCCCAGUCAUUUUCAAUAAUCCGUGCAAAACAAAUCCACACAACUCAGUCAGUCCUCCCACACAUAUCAGAAGGCUGCAGGAAGAUUGAACAGCAUUGAUGUCAUAAUCACCUCAGCCAAUUGGAGAGCGUUUUUGCUCUGCCAAUCAAAUGUGAAUCUUUAAACAGGGUCUUAAAAGAAACUACUUCAUAUAGGACAAAAAAAAAAUUAACAUUACCUAAUGGCAAGCUGCUUAAUGGAUUAAUACUUCUAAAAAUGCUAUACGAGAUUUAGGAGACAUCCCCAUUUCAUCUUAAUUUAGAAAAAGAGAGAUACAAAUGCUUAUCUGGAAGUCCUUCCAAGUAAACUCACAUUUGUGGUGACUCUCCAUGUGGUGGGGUCCCCCCACCACUGUGUGCGUGUGCGUGCGGGGUGUGUGUGUGUUUACCACUCAUUGGUAAAGUAAAAGCAUUCCUCACCUGCUAUUUCUUCUAUUCUUACUUCAUAAAUUCCAGAAUGAACCCUGACAUUGAAAAUAGAUGCCACAGCUUAGUCCUGGCACAAAUUAAGCCCUGCAUCCAAACCUAAGUAUCAGUUUUAUUGAAGUCCAUCAUCACAACGGGGAUAGAAAUGCUUCAUACAAUUAAACAGAUGUAAUUUUUUUUUAGCCCCUACCUCUCUUGGAUCAUCCCCUAACAGUUUAAACUUCCUUGGGAUCUUGCUUCUGGCAAAUUUACAUCCAUUAUAAUACAUACUCCAUGAACAACCGAAGGAAAAAGAUGCACCACAAGUCUCAGGAUCCAGCCCUUGGCAUGCACAAGUUCGUCUAAGAAAUAAGAGAAUUGCUUUUGUGUUAAGCUACAAAGAGCAGUGUGGACAUCAGUGAAGUACCCAUAUAUAGAAACAUAAGUAUCAUAAGAAUCUGCAAAUCAGUUCAUGAUGUCCAGCAACAUGAAUUAGAUAUAGAAAGCAUAACAUGAUCAAGAAACUCAAAUAUUAGAUGAGGAUUUCUUAACUCAAAUCUCUAAUUUUCUGUUUUAUUCUUGUGACCUUUCCCCACAAACAUUUAACAGGUAAUUAGUAAUGUAAGUGAGCUGGAAAGAACCACCAUAAUGUGGCCAUGUGUUACCUUGAUUGUUGAACAUAGGAAGCUUCCUUAUACUGAGUUAGACUAUUGGCCCAUCUAGCUAAGCACUGUUUACACAAAUUGGCAGCAGCUAUCCAAGUUUUCAGGCAGAAAUUUUUCUCAGCCCUAUCUGGAGAUGCCAGGGAUUGAACCUGGAAUCUUCUGCAUACAAAAGCAGAUGUUCUAGCACUGAGCUGACCUAGAACAUCCCAUUGGCUGGGAUGUUGCCAUCAGAAAUUGUAGCUAGAUGGAUCCUGCUCAUGGUCUUCUAAGAAAAGCUUUUAGUAUUACCAGUGGUCAAUCACUGGUAAUACUAAAGUAAAUCAUUGGUGUUAAACUUUGGAUCUAUAAAUAUUUAUUCUAAAAGUGAGGCAGCAAGUUUACAUAUGAUGCAGUAUUUAAAAAAAAGUUUCCUUAGAAGUUUCUGACUACCUGUGACAUGCAACCUAUUCACAUUAAAUGACUGCUAUAAAACAUUUUAUUAAGAAAUAAGUCCCACUGAAAUAAGUGGGACUUAAGAAAUACAGUAAGUCCCACUGAAUCAAAAACAGUAACUUACUUUCUAUUUAGAACACUUUGGCCUGUACCCUAUAUUUUCAUGAAAUGCCAGUCCAUAACUGGUAUUCACAUAAACCCAAUACUGUACCAUUUUUAUUGUCUCAUCACUUCAAAUCUGGAAAGAAAUACUUUGUAUAUAGACUACCUUCAUUAGUGCAGUUUUUUGUUUAUCUUUGAUGUUAUUGCAAUAUGUCCCAGUAAAAGCCAGGUGACCUGUAUAAUAACAACUCUCCUUAGGUUAACACAUAGCAAAAUGGUGUAAGUACACAGAACUGAGAAUGUAGAAUAAAUGAAUAUAAAUAUAUUUAUUUAAAUAUUUAUUUAAAUGAAUAAAUGAAUAUUUUUUUCAUUUAUAUGAAUAAAAGCUGCUUCACAUGUAGGAAAAUUUAUAUAUGGAAGGCACUUCCAUGAUGGCAGAAAGAAUCCCAAGAUAAUUAAAGAAAAUGGAGGGAAAGGGAACAUCCAAAGACACAAACUUUAAUAAUCAGGCUUUUGUAAGUCCAUCAAAACAGGCACUGUCAAUGGAGCUUGCUGCUGUUAUUGCACUGCGUAGACUGGGCACAAUUUGUUUCAGGAACUCAGUGAAAUGAGGAGCAUGAAAAGAAUCACAGCAGACAAGAACCUAGACUUCUUCCACCUACUGUGCAGGGAUGAUAUCAUCGCACAGAGAAGAGUGUGUGCAGCCUAUUACAGAAGUGAGCUAGGCAGGGAACAGUAGGGGAAUUGUGGUCAUGGUAGGAAGGGAAAAGUGGUUUUUUAAACAGGAAAAUUCUUUGUGGUAAACCACCACAUAAUGGACAACAUCCAGACUAAAUUUGGGUGUGGAGGGCUGGUCUUGCAGAAGCAAGCAUGAAUUGUCCCCUUUGCUAAACAAGGGUUGCCUUGGUUUAAAUUUGGAUGGGGGAACCCUGGGGGUGAGGGGGUGCCAUGCGGUUCCUGGCCCAGGGAAUUUUGUCCCCCACCCCACCAAUUGUCCCUAUGUGCCUGUAAACAAUACUGAGCUAGAUGAACCAAUGGUCUGACUCUGUAUAAGGCAGCUUCCUGUGUUUCUGUCCCAGUGAAAUUAAUGAGAUUUAAGUUAGUCAUGAGUAAUUUGCCUUGCUGAUAUAAGUUGGGAUUAAGUCUAACUAGUCUGGAUGUUACCCUGUAACUUCAGUGAGACAAUUAUUUAUGCUAGAACAACAAGAUUCAGAACUUCAGUGGAUUAUUUCUCUAGGUCUUCUAGCUAUAGCUUGGAUCACACUUACAGGGAAACAAGUACAUACUUAACUUACUCUUCAUUUAAAGCACACCUUCGGUUUGUGAGUGUGCCAUACUUCCUUAAAGUUUCAGAGAGUUCAGAGUACAGCUUGUCAGCUAGGGUCCGAGGAAUUCCUUCCCACACCAAGAUGAGGACAACGAUCACUGCUGUUUCACAGGUAUGGCCUGCCCGCUCCCGCACCAAACAAAGGAGUUUUUCUUCAGUGCUACUUCUACGAAUCACCUGUAAUCAACGAAGACAAAAUAUCACAAGAGUGGAGGUUGUAGGUUAUGCAGCUUUUAAAGAGGAUUCCCCCCCCCAGAUGGAAACAUGAAUCUCAUUACAAUAUGCCUUCGUGGGCUGGAGGUGGAAGACAAAGGCUGCCACAUUUGGACCGGCUCCUAGAUGGGUGUAGAAAGGGCCUUCAUCUUUUUCAAUAAUCUGCUCUGUUUAAAACAAGAAGGAAGCAAAAAAGCUGCCCAGCUGAUGGACGCAGGCAGACAUUCGACUUGGAGCCAGCCUCAGCUUUGAUAGGCUUGUGUCCCAUACUGGGACAUGUCUCGGAUUUGUUUUGGUUGAUGUGCUGUUCUUGCUUGUUUAAGAUGUGCCACCUGAGAGCAGCAUGCUUUUGAACAUCCCUGUGGGGCUGGGAAGGAAGAUGACACCCUCUCUGAUCUACAGUGUGGGAUGCUACUUGCUGACUAUAUGCACAAUAAAGAAGUCUUCGCCCAUAGUUGCUGCCUUCCUCUGAACUCUCAUGACAUGGUGUCAGAAGUCUGAGCUGGAAUCCACAAAUGUUUGAAUGGCUCACUUUCCUGCACCAGAAGCAUCCAGUUUCAACAAUCCUGCUGCCUGGCCAGAAUGGAAAGAAAGAUUUGCCUGCUUCAGACUAGCUACAAAGCUCCACAAAGAAGGUGGCACUGCAGAAGUUCCCUUCUUUAUGCCAUGGGAAAGAAAACAAACAACAUGUAUAAAUAAUUUACUUUUGCUGAAACAAUUGCCUAAUCAAGACUGAUCUCUUCCCCAUACCAUCGCCAGUGCAGAUCUAGGUGGUGGUGUUUUUUUAAAAGCACGUUUCCUCCUUAUUUGGCUAUUCCAUUUGAGGGCAUAUUUCAUGAAAGGAGGGGGAAAUCCCACACACGGACUGCAUCUGAAUGAAAAGAGUAGAAAAUUGGCAGACUGCACUUCUACUUACAAGUUCUCAUCUUCACCAACUAAGUAAACUACUCUUGAGGAAAAGUAUCAAACUACUGUUCCUGCAGUUAUUUCCAAAUUACAACUCAAGACUGAACUGUUGGCCAGAAAUAGCACUUUCUGUCAAAGACGUCAUAACACACACUUACCCAGGCAGCAGUCAUAUCAAAAUCAGGGGAAUUAUGCUACAGGAUAUGGCAUUCACCCUUUGAUAACCUAGGCCAUAAGAACACAUAAGUGGAAGUUUUCACUUUGGGCCUCAAGUAUGGAAAAGCCAAGAAAAGGUGAUAGAAUAAUCACUUCGAUCAAAUUCCAUGGACAUUUUGUGUUCAGACUGAAAGGUGUUGGAUUGGUCUUGAAAGGAUUGCAAAUACUGUUUCAUGUCUCAGCCUAUAGCAGCUGUAAGAAAAUAAGUCCAUCAAUCCCAUGCAGCAUUUGUUAGCAUAACAUAUGCACCGGACUUUGGAUAAAUGAACAGCUGCUUUAUUUUUUAAAGACACAGAAUGGAAGGAGAUAGCUACAGAGACCAAUUAUUAAUUAUUUACACAUAUUUUUAAAAGACUCCUUUAAAUGUAAAUACAUUGCUUUGAAAAGCAUUAAAAGGAAAGAUCUUAUUUUGGUGUUGUUUAAGGCUUAGUUAAUUACAGCAAUGUUUACUAAUUUUUAAUGGUGAAGUAGCCUGUAUUAUAACUGUAUUAAAUGUGUGUGUAAGUUAUAUGAUGA